rnacentral:rRNA from 1 species
GGGUUGUGAGGUUAAGCGACUAAGCGUACACGGUGGAUGCCCUGGCAGUCAGAGGCGAUGAAGGACGUGCUAAUCUGCGAUAAGCGUCGGUAAGGUGAUAUGAACCGUUAUAACCGGCGAUUUCCGAAUGGGGAAACCCAGUGUGWUUCGWCACACUAUCAUUAACUGAAUCCAUAGGUUAAUGAGGCGAACCGGGGGAACUGAAACAUCUAAGUACCCCGAGGAAAAGAAAUCAACCGAGAUUCCCCCAGUAGCGGCGAGCGAACGGGGAGSAGCCCAGAGCCUGAAUCAGUGUGUGUGUUAGUGGAAGCGUCUGGAAAGGCGCGCGAUACAGGGUGACAGCCCCGUACACAAAAAUGCACAUGCUGUGAGCUCGAUGAGUAGGGCGGGACACGUGGUA